UUUAACGGUGAAAAUGUUCAUGAAAAAUCAAACACUUUGUAUUUUCGACCAAUAAAAUCAUCUGAUUAAACAAUGCUUUCCUUUCAUAUAUUAAAUACGUGUCAAAGGUGCUGCCAUCUUCGGUGAUGAAUUCAAACUGAAGUUUUAGUUGCAUGUAUUGGCCAUUAAAAACUCAUAAUAAGUUUUUUUACCGUUACCUAACACAUUUGUUGUUGCAAUAAAAAUAAAAGUUUGUUUCUGGUACCAAAAAGUAACUUUUUUAUGACAUAUUCUUUUUUUUUUCUACAACUGUAGCUUUGGUAGCGGUGCACCUUGUAGCUAAUGAUGUGUAUCUUGGUGGUACCACCAUGGUGCACACUUGCAUGAUUUUGUAAAUACUUUUAUGAGUAAUAUUUUUUAUGAUGGUCACAAACCUGGCCCUAGCCCCGGCUAUAUUUUAUCAAACCCAGCCCUGGCCUUGGUCAAAUAUCAAACUCGGUCACUUACUAAUUGUUACAAAAUAUAUUCACAGCCACUUUUCUUAACUAAAUGGAACCAAGUCAAAAAGAUUGCGAUAAAUUUAGUUCUUUUAUGGGUACUCAACCUUUUUCGGAAAAUUUAUUUUUACGCAAGAAACUACUUCAUGAAAUUCAACAAUAUUUUUUGCAAGAUGCAAGCAAGAUAACUUUAGUAUUAUAUGGAAUGUCGGGUGUCGGAAAGACACAUAUUGCCAGAAAAUAUUGUCAAAUAUUUUCUGGCAGUAUGUGUCUUUCUGACACCCGACAUAAAACUUUGUUUGGAUUGACGCGGCAUUUGGAAUAUUACAAACUUCAAUGAGAAACCACUGUCAAGUAUUAGGAUUUAAAGUUCAUGAUACGAAAGGUGAUUUUAAUGUAAGAGUGAUUGCUGAAAAAAUUCACAACUAGUAUAAAAAUGAAAAAACUUUGUAUACAUUGUCAACGAUGAAAGUGUUAAAAAUUUAUCAAUGUACUUUUCAAGAAAACCGAAUUCAUUCACGUUGAUUACCGCCCAAUAAAGAACGUGGUCGAAUAAUGUAAAUCAAAUGCUAGUUGUUUUUUCUUCUAAAGAAGCAUUCGCCUGUGUAAAAAGUGAUAUUGAAGAAAACACAGAUGAAAACAUAAGAAACUUAAUUAAAGAACUUGGAUAUUAUCCGUUUGCGAUAAAAAAUAUAAAUAUGCAUAAAACUUCAAAAGAUAAAUACUUAAAUCGAUAUAGAUCUAAUUCGUCAGAAAUAAUUGACAAUAAUAACUUUCCAACCAAAAAAGAAUCUGCAAUAAAAGCUAUUAACUUAAUUUUAAUAAAAUUAGAAAAAACUAAACUUUUUUCAUUAAACUGUUUAUCUCAUUGCGAUGAUCAAAACAUCAGUAAACAGUUUAAAACACAAAUCUCAAAUCGCAUGAAAAUAAACGAUGAAUCUUUAAUAGAUGAAGCCAUUGGAUUAUUAAUGAGUUAUUCUUUACUAAACUGUUUUGAAGAUAAAUAUUAUUCAACACACGACGCAAUUGACAUGCAGCUGUUUUCAAAAGAGAAAUUCAUGUACAAACACGUAUUUUGAUCUUAUUGAAAGUUAUUUUAAAGUUGAAACGAACGAAGUAAAAGAUCGGAAAUCAUUUUGUUUUUCAUUUUGUCUAUAUGUUGCGUACUAACGAAAAUUUUUUUUCGUUAGUACGAAACAUAUAGACAAAAUGAAAUUAAAAACUUUCAUCAUAUGGCGACUUCUAUUGAAAAAAUAUAAGUAUGUAAAAGUUUAUUUGAAGAAGCAAUCAAAAUAUUAAAAGCUAUUCAAAAAUUUAAUACGGAAACUUAUGGUAAAAAUAAUAAAAUUAACGCUUUAUACGAAACAUAUCGCAUGUUUUUUAAACGAAAUGGGAAUACACUACGAUGUGCAUAUCCUUCAAAAGUCAAUGUAUCAACCACCCGGGUGCAAUGACAGCAAAAAAUGAUAUCGCAUACUGUUUAAACAAUUUGGGAAAAUAUAAUGAAGCUUUAAAAAUUUAUUAUUCUGUUGAUAAAAUACAAACUGAAAUUUUAGAUAUUAACCAUCCGGAUAAAAUGACAACAAAACAUGUUUGAACAAGUUGGAAAAAUAUAACGAACUUUAGAAAUUUAUUAUUCUGUGCAUAAAAUACAAACAAAAAUAAUAUCGCAUUCUGUUUGAAUAAUUUGAAAAACGGAUUAAAGAGAUAGAACAAAAUGCAAUGUCAGCUAUAAUUAAACAAAAUAAAUUUAACCUCGCGUUUACUCGGCAAAAAACUGAUACGUGACCCCAAGGUGUUUGAAAAUUGACCGGCUCAGUUGUUACGAUUAGGACUCUACAGUCCAAUAUUAAACCCAGUGGAAACUAUUUGGCCCAAAAUAAAAAUAAACGUUGAAAAUUUUGUUCGCAUUCCACCUGUAUUCGGUGCUGGGAUUAUGGAACAACUAAUCCAGUAUUUAGAAAGAAUUAUUACUGCAGCAAAAAAAAAACAAACAAGGAUGGGAGGUAAUUGUACACACACUGUACAACAUACAACCACGCAUUACGCAAUGAUUUUAAAUAUAGAAGGCGUCCAAGUUGGUGCUUAACUAACUAUUGUAAUGACUUUUAAUGACGUUUAAAUUUAAAUUUUAAAUUUUUAUGUAAAUAAAUUAUUUGUGUUUUA